rnacentral:rRNA from 1 species
UACGUAGGGUGCAAGCGUUAAUCGGAAUUACUGGGCGUAAAGCGUGCGCAGGCGGUUAUGUAAGACAGAUGUGAAAUGCCCGGGCUAACCUGGGAACUGCAUUUGUGACUGCAUGGCUAGAGUUUGGCAGAGGGGGGUAGAAUUCCACGUGUAGCAGUGAAAUGCGUAGAUAUGUGGAGGAACACCGAUGGCGAAGGCAGCCCCCUGGGUCAAGACUGGACGCUCAUGCACGAA